rnacentral:rRNA from 1 species
CAUAUCAAUAAGCGGAGGAAAAGAAACUAACAAGGAUUCCCCCUAGUAACUGCGAGUGAAGCGGGAAAAGCUCAAAUUUAAAAUCUGGCAGCCUUUGGUUGUCCGAGUUGUAAUCUAGAGAAGUGUUAUCCGCGCUGGACCGUGUACAAGUCUCCUGGAAUGGAGCGUCAUAGAGGGUGAGAAUCCCGUCUUUGACACGGACUACCAGGGCUUUGUGAUGCGCUCUCAAAGAGUCGAGUUGUUUGGGAAUGCAGCUCAAAAUGGGUGGUAAAUUCCAUCUAAAGCUAAAUAUUGGCGAGAGACCGAUAGCGAACAAGUACCGUGAGGGAAAGAUGAAAAGAACUUUGGAAAGAGAGUUAAACAGUACGUGAAAUUGCUGAAAGGGAAACGCUUGAAGUCAGUCGCGUUGUCCAGGGAUCAACCUUGCUUUUGCUUGGUGCACUUUCUGGUUGACGGGUCAGCAUCAAUUUUGACUAUUGGAAAAAGAUUAGGGGAAUGUGGCAUCUUUGGAUGUGUUAUAGCCCUUGGUUGCAUACAAUGGUUGGGAUUGAGGAACUCAGCACGCCGCAAGGCCGGGUUUUUAACCACGUACGUGCUUAGGAUGCUGGCAUAAUGGCUUUAAUCGACCCGUCUUGAAACACGGACCAAGGAGUCUAACAUGCCUGCGAGUGUUUGGGUGGAAAACCCGAGCGCGUAAUGAAAGUGAAAGUUGAGAUCCCUGUCGUGGGGAGCAUCGACGCCCGGACCAGACCUUUUGUGACGGUUCCGCGGUAGAGCAUGUAUGUUGGGACCCGAAAGAUGGUGAACUAUGCCUGAAUAGGGUGAAGCCAGAGGAAACUCUGGUGGAGGCUCGUAGCGAUUCUGACGUGCAAAUCGAUCGUCAAAUUUGGGUAUAGGGGCGAAAGACUAAUCGAACCAUCUAGUAGCUGG